rnacentral:snRNA from 1 species
AAGUUGAUCUAUUGUGACAUCUGCUACUGUCUUGGUUGCUGAGGUUGGGUUGGCUGAUCCGGCAGGUCAAAGGAUGUUCCCUUUCUCUUUCACCCACUUGAGUGAGUCUCUUUGGUCAGCCAAGACAAAGAGGUUGACCUUCUCAGCUUGAGGGGCACAGGACUUUGGGCAAUGGUAUUUAGGAGUGGCUGCGCUGCUCUGGCAGAAAAGCUAACAGAUUUCUCAGCAUUCUUAUCUGCCUAGCCAGGUGUUACACAGGAAGACAGAGAUGGAGCUGGGCUUGUCAUUUCCCAGUUU